UAUGAAAAUACGUAUAUUUGAUGAUAAACAAUAACCAAAGUCUCAUGAGAGCAAUCCAAAAAUUAAAACAGCACCCAAAAAGAACAGAGCCUGAGACUCAUUCACGUCUUCCCACCACAAAACAUAGACAUCACCCCACCAACAUAAUCCCCUUUCCUCAUAUCAAUACCUUUAGCAAGUUAGUCGUUCUUCUGCAAACAAACCCCUCAGCCAAGCAACCUCUCCCCUUGCAACAUACGACUGCAACCUCAUAUCCAUGGUGACACUUCUUGCGAUCAAAAAGGUGAUCAUAUUCGAUUUCCUUGAUACCACCUCCAAUUCCCACUCAUGCAUAUUACUCAGCGCAGUUUUUAUCUCCAUAGCAUACGCACGAUAAGAUGGCCACGCCCUCGGUCUUUUCACCGCACCCACCAAAUCUGCAUCUUCAGUUUCAAAAAUUACUUUAUUCAGCCUGUGAGAUG
rnacentral:lncRNA from 1 species